rnacentral:tRNA from 1 species
UCUCGAUUAGCUCAAUUGGUAGAGCGUCGGUCUUAUUAACCGUAGGUUGGGGGUUCAAUUCCCUCAUCGAGAA